AUCGUUUCUCAGCCUUUUGGCUAAGAUCAAGUGUAGUAUAAAUGCUGGUGAGAAUGUGGAGAAGUAGGAACACUCAUCCACUCUUUGUGGGAAUGUAGGGUGGUACAAAAACUUUGGAAAGCAAUAUGGAAACUCCUGAAAAAUCUGACUAUAGAGAUACCAACAGACCCAGUUAUUCCCUUACUGGGCAUCUAUCCUAA